UCUGAGACCCAACCCAAAUAACACCAGCUUCAUCCCCGCAUCUCCUCCGCCGCCACCCUCUCGCGCCACCCCCCGUCCCUGCCGCCGGCGGUGAUAGCUCCGACGCCGACCUCCGUCCGCCCGCCGCCCUAACCCCCGCCCUCGACCACAUCCCCCGACCUCGAGCUCCACAUCCCCGGCCCCUGCUUCUGCCGCCGCCGCCCCUUUUCUCUCCCGCAAAGACCCUUGUCCAGAUUUAUCAGCCGCAGGCCCGUUUCAUUGGUGGGCAGCCGGUGGCCUUCGAGCGUCCGUCAUGCGUCUCUUGCAAGGGAAAAAGAACAGAUCGAUGGUGUUUGGGAAAGGAUGACAUGCAAGCGCUUUGCGCAUAACAGGCCUGACGGCUGAAGCUAGUUUGAUUGGUGCGUUCCUAGCAAGAUUGAUGUGUUGCGCUUCACAUCUGGGCAUGAAUGUGUGUAUCUCUAUCUUCUUUUAUUAACCGGUAAUCAGCCACCUAGUAUUCAUGGAUGUGAUGACUUUGGAGUGUUAUGGAGCAUUUGGUUGACCGCAGUAUUUUGGAUCAUCCAACUUAAUUGUAAUCAUGAAUCUUAUUUGUGUUCUGGACCAUUUGGUGUUCAAGUGAUAUGGAGUAGAAAUCCUAUGGAUGUGACUUAAGUGUUUGGACCAUUUAGUGUUUGAACUCUUUUAGACCAUCAAACAAGGGUCCUUUUAUGUGACUUGUGUUUUCUAGAUGUUUGCCAAGAUGGCCAAACUUUGCUUUGUCAAGAUUGACUUGAGUUUGAAUCUGUGAUCAAUGAUUGUGCAA